UGUCAACCCCUGUUAGUUCCGUCGGUAUUUGAUGAGCAUGGAAGAGGCUUGCUAUUAAAACCAACAGAACAUGGCCAUCAAAAUUAGUUUGAUUCAUUGUCAAUCGUGAUUUCUAAAGGGACGAGAAUGACGCGGUCUCAAUAGAUCGAACUUAUUGGUCACCCUGCUCAUCCCACAAAAAAAGGACAGUCAAGGUGGGCCGCGUUACUGGCUGGUCAAGGAGGUUCGCGGGUGUUGUGGCCUGAGUGGCCAAUUUGGUUGGUCAGAGGCCAGGCUUGAUCCAUCUGGCAUCUACCCGAUUCGAAUUAAAUCAGAGUAUCCAUGUUUUCGAUGAUUUCCCAGAAAUCAUUUUCAAAACAAGAAUUCCCUGUUUAUAGUUAGGUGGAAUAUUUUCAAACGGACCUUCAUAUCUGAAGUUUGGCAAUAAAUAUAAGCAUGAACUGAGGUACUUAGCCUUCAGAAAGAAGAUUGUUUUCGUCUGGUCUGUUGUCAGAGGCAUCCUGGCCAGUUACCAUCUUUUUAACUUGGCAGCCCUGUUUGUCUCUUUUCUGGCCCUCGACAGUGCAAGUCGCUUUUGGGACGAGUAUGGUUGCUCGGAAUGGGACCCAGCUGGACCUGGAAGGGUUGGGCGCAACUUUGGUCUUCCGGUGGAACCCGGUCGAACCUUUAUCAAUAGCCGAGCCUCGAUUGUGGGCCACACAAUUCGCACGAAAAUUUGCAUAAUUAGGGUAGUAAUUUUGAUCAGUCUCGACUCAACUCUAUAUUUCGGUUUCCAGAAUCCUUCAUUCACCAUGGCUCAAGGAACACGAUGGUACUUACUUUGGCGAGCAAAUUGCAUUUAGCCGUUCACCCAAACAUACAAAGACAGAACUGUCAUGCCAACGCGGAGAAUUCCGACUUAAUGUGGCCCAAAUAACAAGGUCCAUUGGCAAUUUUACCCCGGAUCAAUCACAUCAUUGUAAAGCGACAGAAAAGCUAUGGAACGUUUGCCAUUUAUUUACAACAUUUUCUUUGUUUCCUCUGUGUUAAAUCAUGAAGUGUUGGUUUCGAAUACAUGAGAGAGGGAGGGAGAAGCCUCCUGUUUGUAGUUGUA